GACGAACGCUGGCGGCGUGCCUAAUACAUGCAAGUAGAACGCUGAAGGAGGAGCUUGCUUCUCUGGAUGAGUUGCGAACGGGUGAGUAACGCGUAGGUAACCUGCCUGGUAGCGGGGGAUAACUAUUGGAAACGAUAGCUAAUACCGCAUAAUAUUGACUAUUGCAUGAUAGUCAGUUGAAAGGUGCAACUGCACCACUACCAGAUGGACCUGCGUUGUAUUAGCUAGUUGGUGGGGUAACGGCUCACCAAGGCGACGAUACAUAGCCGACCUGAGAGGGUGAUCGGCCACACUGGGACUGAGACACGGCCCAGACUCCUACGGGAGGCAGCGGUAGGGAAUCUUCGGCAAUGGACGGAAGUCUGACCGAGCAACGCCGCGUGAGUGAAGAAGGUUUUCGGAUCGUAAAGCUCUGUUGUAAGAGAAGAACGAGUGUGAGAGUGGAAAGCUCACACUGUGACGGUAUCUUACCAGAAAGGGACGGCUAACUACGUG
rnacentral:rRNA from 1 species